UCUUACAAUUGCGAUGGGGGGACGGAGAAGGCUAGGUGGGCCUGGCGACGGUUGUCCAGGUUCAAGUGCGUAGGCUUAAGAGUUAGGUAAAUCCGGCUCUUUUUAAGGCUGAGACACGACGUCGAGCUACUACGGUAGUGAAGUCAUUGAUGCCAUGCUUCCAGGAAAAGCCUCUAAGCUUCAGAUUGUAAGGAAUCGUACCCCAAACCGACACAGGUGGUCGGGUAGAGAAUACCAAGGCGCUUGAGAGAACUCGGGUGAAGGAACUAGGCAAAAUGGUACCGUAACUUCGGGAGAAGGUACGCUCUUGAUGGUGAAGUCCCUCGCGGAUGGAGCUGACGAGAGUCGCAGAUACCAGGUGGCUGCAACUGUUUAUUAAAAACACAGCACUGUGCAAAAUCGUAAGAUGACGUAUACGGUGUGACGCCUGCCCGGUGCCGGAAGGUUAAUUG
rnacentral:rRNA from 1 species